AGAGGGGAGGAGGUGGGGAGGUGUCCUGGGGGAAGGAAGGGAAGGAGGCCUCGCCCACCUCCUCCAGCCCAGAGACUGCUACCAAGACCAGCCGGCUGGCAGCCCAGUGGAGCCCUGCGCCCUGGAGCAGUACCGCACACAGCUGCACCAGCAGGUGUGUGUUCUGAUGGAGGGGGCUGGUGGACUCCCUGUGUCAGCUGCUGGAGGAGGAUGCAGAGGCAUAGACACACACACACACACACACACACACACACACACACACACACAAAGAUCAAUUUGUGUAGUCUGAGUGUUCCACCCUCUUGGAUCCCACCUAAAUGUGUCUAUGAAGGUUAUUUUCUAAUCAAUAAACCUCGGAUGUCGAUAUGAGCUCAUCAAUAUCACUUA